rnacentral:lncRNA from 1 species
UAGAUUAUCGUGAUCCGGAUUAUACUCGGAAAGGAAAGGCUCAAGUCAAGUAACUUUUGGAGUUCGUUUUAAGGCAAGUGGCUUCCAAACUUUGUAAAACUCUUAGACUACGCAUGACUACUUUCCUAAUUGUGUUGGGGAGUAAUGGGGAUUGAGGAUGGGUUUUAUUUGUUGAUUGAAAUUGUUGUAAAUGAAAGAUGGGGAAUAAAACGAGCUAAAUGUGUUAUAUGUGACUUGAAUUUGUUGAAUAAGUCAUGUGAUAACUGAUAUUGAGGGGAUAGAAGAGCAUGAGUAGGCUAUGAUUGAUACAAACAUUCAUGUUGAGACAAAUGAUGUGUAAUACUAUGAUGUGGUCGUGAUAUGGUUGUGAUUGAGAUAGGUGAUGUGUAAUACUAUGAUGUGGUUGUGAUAUGGUUGUGAUUGAGACAGAUGAUGUGUAAUAUUAUGAUGUGAUCGUGAUAUGAUUGUGAUUGAUGACAUGUGCAUAUUCAUUAUUCAUCCCAUGUGUGAACUAUCUGUUGCAUGAGUUCUGAGACACUGAUAUGAGGAUGGAUGGAUAUGAGACACAGUUGAGACUAGCUCCGGCUAGAGAUAUAUGAGAUGGACUAGCUCCGGCUAGCGAUUU